rnacentral:rRNA from 1 species
GGGAAGUGAAACAUCUCAGUACCCACAGGAAGAGAAAACAACAUGUGAUUCCGUGAGUAGUGGCGAGCGAAAGCGGAGGAGGCUAAACCGUGUGUGUGUUCAAGCCGGCAGGUGUUGCAUGUGCGGGGUUGUGGGGGCCUUGUGGUUCUGCUGCCGCAGGAUUGGCCAGUGAGAAAUGUUGCGUGAAGGUGAAGCGUCUGGGAAGGCGUACCGGAGUGGGUGAGAGUCCUGUAACUGUAAGCGUGGCACUGGUGUGGGGUUGCCCCGAGUAGCGUGGGACUCGUGGAAUUUCGCGUGAAUCUGGCGGGACCACCCGUCAAGCCUAAAUACUCCUUGGUGACCGAUAGUGGAUGAGUACCGUGAGGGAAGGGUGAAAAGUACCCCGGGAGGGGAGUGAAAUAGUACCUGAAACCGUGUGCUUACAAUCCGUCAAAGCCUCCCUUCGUGGUGGGGUGAUGGCGUGCCUUUUGAAGAAUGAGCCUGCGAGUUAGUGAUGCGUGGCGAGGUUAACCCGUGGUGGGGGAGUCGUAGCGAAAGCGAGUCCGAUAAGGGCGUGAGUCGCGUGUUCUAGACCCGAAGCGGUGUGAUCUAUCCAUGG